rnacentral:rRNA from 1 species
AUGCAAUGCUAUACUGACUGCGGGCCCUUCCAGUACUCACUUAAGUUGAAGCGGCGGGGGGAAAUUAAGGGCUUGAGCAGGGGAACCAAAUUAGGGAUCGUUGGUAGGCUGGAGACGGGCGGCGGCGGCGGCGGCGGCGGUUACUCAAGCAGGAGGUGGGCUUCGGCAGUAAUCGACGACGUCUUCCUCCUCCCGCGCGUCGUACUCAGGCGGAGGUCGUGGGCGCAUGGCUCCAUCAAGGUCGUCCGCGCCGUACUGCGAGGACGCCAUGGCGUACGAGCCGGCAGUGGAAUGCCACUGUAA